GCGGCGGACGGGUGAGUAAUGCUUGGGAACAUGCCUUGUAGUGGGGGACAACAGUUGGAAACGACUGCUAAUACCGCAUAAUCUCUACGGAGCAAAGAGGGGGCUCUUCGGACCUCUUGCUGCAAGAUUGGCCCAAGUGAGAUUAGCUAGUUGGUGAGGUAAAGGCUCACCAAGGCGACGAUCUCUAGCUGGUUUGAGAGGAUGACCAGCCACACUGGGACUGAGACACGGCCCAGACUCCUACGGGAGGCAGCAGUGGGGAAUAUUGGACAAUGGGGGCAACCCUGAUCCAGCCAUGCCGCGUGUGUGAAGAAGGCCCUCGGGUUGUAAAGCACUUUCAGUGAGGAGGAAAGGGUGAUAGUUAAUACCUAUCAUCUGUGACGUUACUCACAGAAGAAGGACCGGCUAACUCCGUGCCAGCAGCCGCGGUAAUACGGAGGGUCCAAGCGUUAAUCGGAAUUACUGGGCGUAAAGCGUGUGUAGGCGGAUAAUUAAGCGAGAUGUGAAAUCCCGGGGCUCAACCUCGGAACUGCAUUUCGAACUGGUUAUCUAGAGUACUGUAGAGGGUGGUGGAAUUUCCAGUGUAGCGGUGAAAUGCGU
rnacentral:rRNA from 1 species